rnacentral:rRNA from 1 species
UCGGGUUGAGACUAAGCCAUGCUAGUCGAGCGUUUUCUAGCUAUGUUGAGAGCGCGGCGAACAGCUCAGUAACACGUAGUUAACCUUCCCUCUGGAUGGAGAUAACCCCUGGGAAACUGGGAUUAAUAUCCACUAGAUGAUACUGCCUGGAAUGGUUUAUCAUCGAAAGAUUCUGGAGACAUGCUUCCAGUAUCGCCCGAGGAUGGGACUGCGUCCGAUCAGGUUGUUGGCGGGGUAACGGCCCACCAAGCCUAUUACCGGUACGGGCCCUGAGAGGGGGAGCCCGGAGAUGGAAACUGAGACAAUGUUCCAGGCCCUACGGGGCGCAGCAGGCGCGAAACCUCCACAAUGCGCGCAAGCGUGAUGGGGUUAGCCCGAGUGCCGUCCGAUGAGGAUGGCUUUUCCUUGGUGUAAAAAUCCAGGGGAAUAAAGGGGGGGCAAGACUGGUGUCAGCCGCCGCGGUAAUACCAGCCCCCUGAGUGGUAAGGACGAUUAUUUGGCUUAAAGCGUUCGUAGCCGGCUUAGUAAGUCUCCUGUUAAAUCCAAUGAUUCAAUCAUUGAACUGCAAGAGAUACUGCUAUGCUAGAGGACGGGAGAGGUCGACGGUAGUCCAGGGGUAGGGGUGAAAUCCUAUAAUCCUUGGAGGACCACCAGUGGCGAAGGCGGUCGACUAGAACGUGCCUGACGGUGAGGGACGAAAGCUGGGGGAGCGAACCGGACUAGAUACCCGGGUAGUCCCAGCUGUAAACGAUGCGGGCUAGGUGUAGGGGUAGCUACGAGCUGCUCCUGUGCCGCAGAGAAAUUGUUAAGCCCGCCGCCUGGGGAGUACGAUCGCAAGAUUGAAACUUAAAGGAAUUGGCGGGGGAGCACCACAAGGGGUGAAGGCUGCGGUU